rnacentral:rRNA from 1 species
CGGAUCGGAGUCUGNAACCCGACUCCCGUGAAGCUGGAUUCGCUAGUAAUCGCGCAUCAGCCAUGGCGCGGUGAAUACGUUCCCGGGCCUUGUACACACCGCCCGUCAAGCCAUGGAAGCCGGGAGUGCCUGAAGUGUGCAACCGCAAGGAGCGCCCUAAGGUAAAACUGGUGACUGGGGCUAAGUCGUAACAAGGUAAC